rnacentral:rRNA from 2 species
UGGUCUGUUACUGACGCUGAGGCUCGAAAGCAUGGGUAGCGAACAGGAUUAGAUACCCUGGUAGUCCAUGCCGUAAACGAUGAAUACUAGGUGUUGGAGGGUUUCCGCCCUUCAGUGCCGCAGCUAACGCAUUAAGUAUUCCGCCUGGGGAGUACGACCGCAAGGUUGAAACUCAAAGGAAUUGACGGGGGCCCGCACAAGUGGUGGAGCAUGUGGUUUAAUUCGAUGCUACGCGAAGAACCUUACCAGCUCUUGACAUCUUCUGCCAACCCAAGAGAUUGGGCGUUCCCUUCGGGGACAGAAUGACAGGUGGUGCAUGGUUGUCGUCAGCUCGUGUCGUGAGAUGUUGGGUUAAGUCCCGCAACGAGCGCAACCCUUAUUAUUAGUUGCCAGCAUUUAGUUGGGCACUCUAGUGAGACUGCCGGUGAUAAACCGGAGGAAGGUGGGGACGACGUCAAAUCAUCAUGCCCCUUAUGAGCUGGGCUACACACGUGCUACAAUGGAUGGUACAACGAGUCGCGAAACCGCGAGGUCAAGCUAAUCUCUUAAAGCCAUUCUCAGUUCGGAUUGCAGGCUGCAACUCGCCUGCAUGAAGUUGGAAUCACUAGUAAUCGUGGAUCAGCAUGCCACGGUGAAUACGUUCCCGGGCCUUGUACACACCGCCCGUCACACCAUGAGAGUUUGUAACACCCA